rnacentral:rRNA from 1 species
UCUCAGAAUGCCACGGUGAAUACGUUCCCGGGCCUUGUACACACCGCCCGUCACACCAUGGGAGUGGGUUGCAAAAGAAGUAGGUAGCUUAACCUUCGGGAGGGCGCUUACCACUUUGUGAUUCAUGACUGGGGUGAAGUCGUAACAAGGUAACCGUAGGGGAACCUGCGGUUGGAUCACCUCCUUA